GUUGCCUUAUUUGUAGAUCUAACUUUGCUGUACAUUAUUGCUGUUAACAGUUUAUCUCUAUCUAUAACAAUAUUCAAGAUAAUAACCAAAAGCUGCAAAAUUUUCUUAAAAUUACCAAUUCAGGGGCAGCAACCCAACAACGGGUUGCCUGAUUGGUCUGAAAAUUUCAGGGCAGAUAGAUCUUAACCUAAUGAACAAUUUUAUCCUCAUCAGAUUUGCUCUUAAUGCUUUGGUUUCAGAGAUAUGAGCCAAAAACUGCAUUUUACCCUAUGUACUAUUUUUUAGCCAUGUCGGCCAUCUUGGUUCGCGGGCGGGGUCAUCGGACACAUUUUUUAAACUACAUACCCUAAUGAUGAUUGUGGACAAGUUUGGUUAAAUUUGUCUUAGUUGUUUCAGAGGAGAAGAUUUUUGUAAAAGAUUACAAAAAUUUACUAAAAAUGGUUAAAAAUUGACUAUAAAGGGCAAUAACUCCUUAAGGGGUCAACUGACCAUUUUGGUCAAGUUGACUUAUUUGUAGAUCUUACUUUGCUGAACAUUAUUGCUGUUUACAGUUUAUCUCUAUCUAUAAUAAUGUUCAAGAUAAUAACCAAAAACGGCAAAAUUUCCUUAAAAUUACCAAUUCAGGGGCAGCAACCCAACAACGGGUUGCCUGAUUGGUCUGAAAAUUUCAGGGCAGAUAGAUCUUGACCUAAUGAACAAUUUUAUUCUCAUCAGAUUUGCUCUUAAUGCUUUGGUUUCAGAGAUAUGAGCCAAAAACUGCAUUUUACCCUAUGUACUAUUUUUUAGCCAUGUCGGCCAUCUUGGUUCGCGGGCGGGGUCAUCGGACACAUUUUUUAAACUACAUACCCUAAUGAUGAUUGUGGACAAGUUUGGUUAAAUUUGUCUUAGUAGUUUCAGAGGAGAAGAUUUUUGUAAAAGAUUACAAAAAUUUACGAAAAAUGGUUAAAAAUUGACUAUAAAGGGCAAUAACUCCUUAAGGGGUCAAAUGACCAUUUUGGUCAAGUUGACUUAUUUGUAGAUCUUACUUUGCUGAACAUUAUUGCUGUUUACAGUUUAUCUCUAACUAUAAUAAUAUUCAAGAUAAUAACCAAAAACGGCAAAAUUUCCUUAAAAUUACCAAUUCAGGGGCAGCAACCCAACAACAGUUGUCAGAUUCAUCUGAAAAUUUCAGGGCAGAUAGAUCUUGACCUGA